rnacentral:rRNA from 1 species
GACGAACGCUGGCGGCGUGCUUAACACAUGCAAGUCGAACGAAGUGGCGAACGGGUGAGUAACGCGUAAUCAACCCGCCCUUCAGAGGGGGACAACAGAUGGAAACGACUGCUAAUACCGCAUACGGAAGGAGGGGAUUGCGUCUGAUUAGCUAGUUGGAGGGGUAACGGCCCACCAAGGCGAUGAUCAAUAGCCGGUCUGAGAGGAUGAACGGCUAAAUUGGGACUGAGACACGGCCCAGACUCCUACGGGAGGCAGCAGUGGGGAAUCUUCCGCAAUGGACGAAAGUCUGACGGAGCAACGCCGCGUGAGUGAUGACGGCCUUCGGGUUGUAAAGCUCUGUUAAUCGGGACGCGGUACCGGAAUAGAAAGCCACGGCUAACUACGUGCCAGCAGCCGCGGUAAUAC